GGGCAGUCUGUUCUCAUCGCCAUUAGCAGUCCUGGCACCCAACUGAGAUGCCACAAACAGGUGCCAUUUGGGAAAGGAAGAAUUCAGAGGUUUCAAGGUUGCAUCUUUCCUGGCUAACAUGGAGCUCGGCAGAACCCAAACACAUGAUGCCUGUGAGUUACAGAACACAGGAGCGGGCUCUGAUGAACAUGAGGAGAGCUGCCAUCACCAAGAAAGUGGAAGGAGCCCCCAUGUUAGUCCACCUUGAAAUACCUUCAGGGGAUUAGGGACUACGUUUUGCCAGAAGUCCACAUGGCCGUCAUCAUCAAGUCCUUCCAU